UACAGAGGUCCCGAGCGUUGUUCGGAUUCACUGGGCGUAAAGGGUGCGUAGGCGGCUUGACAAGUUGCAUCUAAAAGGCGGCAGCUCAACUGACGAGUGCGGUGCAAGACUGUAAAGCUUGAGGCAAGCAAAAGAAUGUGGAACUCCGAGUGUAGCGGUGGAAUGCGUAGAGAUUCGGAGGAACACCCAUGGCGAAGGCAGCAUUCUGGGCUUGACCUGACGCUGAGGCACGAAAGCCAGGGGAGCGAACGGG
rnacentral:rRNA from 1 species